GUUUCUGGGCCUCAGGUCUCCUGACUACGCCCUCCCUGGAUAACCCACCUGCAAGUACUACUCUCAACUCCUCUAUUUCCAUGGCCACCUUUCUAGCAGCACCACCCAACCCUCGCCUGGCUGCCGAAAGGCCUCUCUUCCUCCGCUCCUGUCCUCCGGUGACUCAUCCUACAGGGCACAUUCAUGGCCUCACUCACCCACUCGGAAAGAGGGAGAGGCAGCUGGAAAGUCGAGGAAAACCAAGAAUGAUCCGGGAAUCGUGGCUAGACACCGUCGACAACGUGGCGGGACUGUGAGUUCCCGGUGGGGCAGGAGAAAAGAGGAUCCAUUUGUCCCUGAUGCCAGGACACCGCUCCUUUCUGACCACAGACUUGUGAAGAAGAAACUGUAACCGCAGCAGCCUGAUGGGCUGUGCAGAGAGAAACAGCUGCAGCGUCGCGUCCUGCGUGGAUUGAUCUUUAAUUGCCUUCGAGUUUUAGAGUCAGUUGACAGACAGGGAGCGGCGUCGCAGGAGCACACACGGUGGGUCGGGGGGACAACUGGAUGCCAUUUCCCUCCCUUUUUCCUGUUUGUGCCUCCGCCAGGUGAGCCAGCCUGGCCCGGGCAGGAUGUCUCACUCUGCCUGCAGCUCCCGGGGGUCACAUCUCAGUAAUGUCCAGUCUCCCUGGGGACCUCGAUUUCCUCCCCGGCUCUGCCUGACAGCCUCUCAUCCACGUGGCCCCUAGAGCUCGUGUGGUCUCUGUCCUCGGCCCAGGACCCCCGUGCCCGUGGGCCGGAACAACCUCAUUCUCCUCUGGAGCCCAGUUCUCGCAUGACACCCUGCGGAGCCUUGAGCCGGAGUCAGCCCAGCUGCUUGGCCCUCUCAGCUCUUACUGGCCCUGGCCUGCUUUCCCCCGAGUAGUGCAGGGCCUGGCUCCGAGAUGGCGCCCAGAGGACCGUGGCUGGGUGCACUACGUGCAGAAUAUUCUGUAUCAGGGGCUCCGUCUCCCCACACCCUGGCCGAGGGCAUCAGUGGCCCCGUGUCACACAGGGACAGAGGCCCAAGGCUGAGGUGUCUCCCGGGGCCCCAGGGCUGCAGGGCCAGGCCUGGAGCUCACGGCCGUGCUUGGCUAGCAGGCCCGGUUCUCUCUCAGGCCAGGCCAGGGAUCCCCGCCUUCUCUGAAGGUCAGUAGUCUCUUGAAGGCCACUUCAAGCCACCUGCUCCACAGGGGAGCUGGCAGCAGGGAGGGGCGCUUUUGGUGGGGGGAGCCAGGCUGCACUGAGCUUACCCACUGCUUCCCUGUGCCACACAGCCAGGCUCUCAGGGCGGAGGCAUCGGGGCAGAGGAGGUGGGCGCCAGCUGGUGGAGAGCAGGGCUGGGCCGGGUCUGUGCUCCCAGGCUGCUUGGGUCCCUCGGAGCUGCGCGCAAGCCUCUGCCGGGAGGUCCGGCCGGCUCCGCCUGGCACCGUCAGACACAACGAUUUUUCUUCUGGGGAUUAGUAAAUUCUCACUAAUUUCCCCAAACAUUACCAGAGUCUGUUUUCUUAAAGUACAAACAUAUACAGUAUGUUCAUCAUUUAAAAUAUCAUUUCCUUAAUGGUUGGA